AAGAGUAUGAAUGAGGAAAGUCCCGUUGAACCUUAGGAAUAGAUUAGGAUAUUUUGGCAUCCAAGCUCAUUGAGUUGAGUCUGAGUUCACUUAUGGAUGCGAAUGCCCGAACUCGUUGAGUUGAGUCUGAGUUCGUGAGAUGUAACUAGGCAUCCGAGCUCGUUGAGUUGAGUCCGAGUUCUCUUAUGGAUGCGAACGCCUGAGCAUUAAGUUGAGUCCGAGUUCACUUAUGGGCGAGUUACAUGGUAGCUUGGCUACAUAUAUGGAACUUAUGUGCAAAC
rnacentral:lncRNA from 1 species